UGUUAAAAAAAUUAUCCAUUUAUGUUGUUAAAAAUUGGUGUGAUUGAGGGAAUAAUUAAACAGUAAUAUGUGAUGUUUACGUGUCCUCAUGAUGACGUACAAUGACAAAUUUUUAAUGUAGAAAUAGAUAAAAUUUUUAACG
rfam:Gossypium raimondii Chr06_contig_553, whole genome shotgun sequence.